UUUUACACUUAAUUAGGACUCCAGAAUCCAACACUAGUAAUCAAGACCAAAUCUCCUCAUCUAUAGAAAGAGGUUUGAUGUACCAAAUAUGCACCACAUACAAUACAAACUCUCUACACUUUUACUCAAACCUUCUCUUUCUCUACCAUUCCUCAAAACCCUUUCUCCGGCUUAGGCAUUGGAGAGCCCCUGGCUAGAUCAGCUUUAGUAGUCUUCUGCUCUUCCUAUGUGCAGAUCAGUGAUUCCUCAUCCGUAUGGAUCUAUCAGUGCUCUUUAAAUCAUCGGCUUGGGUUUUUGCAGCAAUAACAUUGUUCAUCAUGGCUCCAGUUCGUAUGGUAUACCUACACUGGCGUAAUGGUGUCUCCAAGCUUGGAUGCUAGGAAAAAGGGAUUCAUUAGAUUCUCUCUAGAUGCGCUCAAGCAAGUGGUGAAAUGAGGAGGAACCGAAU
rnacentral:lncRNA from 1 species